AUACGGUGAAUACGUUCCCGGACCUUGUACACACCGCCCCGUCAAGCCAUGGAAGCUGGGUGUACCUAAAGUCGGUAACCGUAAGGAGCCGCCUAGGGUAAAACUAGUAACUGGGGCU
rnacentral:rRNA from 1 species